GCCCGGAUAGUUUAACGGUUAGAACAUGGGUCUCAUAUUCAAGGAUAUGAGCGAGCACAGCCCGUAUAACCCCAUUCGCCUGACACAGGUGAUCCCAAGAUCUGAGUUCGAUUCUCAGUCCAGGCA
rnacentral:tRNA from 1 species